UCUCUUCUUUCUGAGCAGCUUGGAGGGCUAUGCACAUAGCUACCUCCUCCUCCCGUGUGGGAGGGAUGCUGGAUAGCAAUGGUGAGGACGUCCUUAGUGUAUGCCCAGUGGAGCCCACAGCUCUGUGUAUGAACGGCAGAGCACAACAGGAGACUAUGGAUGAAUGAACGGCUCUGUAGCAUCCUUAGUCUCCAAAUAUGCCUGUUUCCUCUCUUUCUGGCCUACGACCACACUGGUCCUAAGAAAUAAAAUGUCACUGAGGAAAAAGAAAUGCAGGCAGAACUUAUAUGGCUCACCAUUUUCCUCUGGGCCUGGUCUAAUCCGGUUAAGCUGCUUGGUACUUUAAAAACUGGGGCUGGAGAGAUGGCUCAGAUGCUAAGAGUACUGGCUGCUUUUCCAGGGAACCCGGGUUCAAUUCCCAGCACCUACAUGGCAACUUACAACAGUCUCCAGUUCCAGAGGUUCUUACACCCCCCCCCACACACACAUACAGGUAAAACACCAAUGCACAUGAAAUAAAAAUUAAAAAAACCCCAAAGGUAUUACAUGAACUGUACAUACCUUAAAAAAAAAGACAGGGUCUACUUUAAAGGUUUAUAAACACUAGACACCCUCUCCUAGGAUGUCUUCCUUGAAUAUAGCUCAUUCCAUGUUCACACAGCAAACAUGUACUGUAAGAAACCACUCUCACACGUAUGUCAUUGUACCCUGCGGUAAUAGCAUCAGAUGGAGGGGCAUGGAACACAGAGGAAGCUCUGGGCUCUGGCUAGACCCACAGACUACAACCAGGAGAAGGGGUGAGAGACUGAAGAAGACAGAAGACCUCGCACUGCUUCUGUGGAGCCUCAUCUUGGUUACCACUCCCUGGCCUACAAUUGUGUGAUCAUAGUCACAUGUCCCAGGUGAUAUCCCAUCCCCAGGACCCAAGUGGACGCUGGCUACACAUGGCAGGUCUGAGAUUCCAGCCGUAGAAGACAGGGUCUCUGGGGGGCACAGAUUACAGGCCAAGCUGUGGAUAAAGUGAACCCUGGCUUUACCAGAACGGGGACAAAGACAUGAAAGCUGUUAUUGUGCUAAUCCUAGCACCGUUCAACUGUGCCAAGCUUGCAAGGAGGGCACAUGAGGCCAGCACAGACUGAGGUAGAGAAGAAUUCUUCUUGCUAGAGCCUCCUUUUGUCUGGCCCGGGGGAUCCUGGCUCCACUGUAGCUGUUGGCAGGUUUCAGUUCUUGCCACCAACAAGGAGGGACAGGAAGAGAGGUCCUUGAUGACCGACCUAGCUGGGUGGAACCUUGGAGAGCUCCCAUCUUGUCUCCUCUGUAGAUGAGGGAAUCACGGGCUACACAGGCUUCAUUAGGUGGCUUGCUGCUUGUCUGUCAUUCGAGGAACAAUCGGUGCCUGAGAACGGAAGCUCUGGAAAGGAAGCAAUGGAAGAGCGAGGAGACAACUUACAUGCAGAACGGGAGAAAGUCUUUGCCAGCUCUAUAUCCAACAGGGCAUUAAUAUCUAAGGAGGAGGAGGAGAAAGAACGAGGAAGAGGAAGAAAAAUGCUGUAUAUUAUCACCACUGGAUUUCCAGAAUCCCCUAGAGGUCUAGCUUGUUCCAUCUGGUGAAGGUUCCUUGUUUGCCUGGCACUGUGUGCACGAACCCACGAACCCUGUGUGAAUGGCAUCAUUGUCCCCAAUUUGAUGUGAGGCUCUGGGAACUUAUAAACCCUCUGAUCUUUCUGGAAAUAAGUGGCUAAGAUUCUCAUAAAACUUGACAGGAUAGCCCAUGAUUUGAAUUGUUAAGACCUCCUUCGUGGGCUCAAUGAUACAAAAAGCUAAUUUCUAUGAAGCUAAAUUGCCAGCGAAGAGCUUCCCUCCUUCUCCCAUCUAAACACUGACAAGGCAGAGGAACACACGGGGCCUCAGAGAGCCCCCAGGAGUCUCAAACUAGUUGCUCAUGGCUCACAUCUCAACAAAACAAACAUGUUUUGUGGGUCUGGCACCAUGUGGCAAAAGGACCAGGUCGUGGUACUGCACUCCUUUAAUCCCAGGACUCAGGAGGCAGAGGCAGGUGGAUCUUUGUGGUUUCUAGGCCAGCCUGGUCUACAGAAUUCCAGGACAUCCAGGGCUACACAGAGAAACCCUGCCUCAAGAAUAAACAGACAUAAAUAAACAUGUAAAUAAAUAAAGCAAAAGGGAAUCAGAAGGCCCUUGGGAAGGGCCGUGUUCUUUGCCAUUUUGCCUUUAGCUGCCUUUCUCCCAUACUGUCCCACAUCUCUCAGAUGUAUGAAAUACAUCAAGGAGCUGGUGACAUUAUUUGACAGCUACAGAGGUUGCUCCGGGCAGAAUGAGAAGGGAGAAGUUGGGUAGAGGAGGUUGU